rnacentral:rRNA from 1 species
UACGAAGGGGGCUAGCGUUGCUCGGAAUCACUGGGCGUAAAGGGUGCGUAGGCGGGUCUUUUAAGUCAGAGGUGAAAUCCUGGAGCUCAACUCCAGAACUGCCUUUGAUACUGAGGAUCUUGAGUACGGGAGAGGUGAGUGGAACUGCGAGUGUAGAGGUGAAAUUCGUAGAUAUUCGCAAGAACACCAGUGGCGAAGGCGGCUCACUGGCCCGUUACUGACGCUGAGGCACGAAAGCGUGGGGAGCAAACAGGG